rnacentral:lncRNA from 1 species
GGGAGGAUGGCAAUGACCCCAUUAGCUCAUUAGUAUAAUCUAGUAAGUGAAAUACAAAUUCAACUCAUUUACUUCUUCACAAAAGGCAAACAUAAUUGAUAUACUUCAUAUCAAAAAACUAGUUUAUAAAGCUUGUCUUCAUAUUUCAGUUUAAGGUUCAACUGAUAUAAAAUGCCUUAAAAGAACAUCCAAGCAAUGCUUUGGAUUUUCUUUCUUUGCAAAAUUCAAGGAAAACAUGAUUGGUUGAAGUUUCUUCACUGCUGGCGAAUUAGUUAAGAGCUACCUGAGAUUGCUUUGCACUUCCACUCUUCCACUCUUUGAGUUUCCAGUGAUUAAAAUAUGCCAGAGACAUAAUUUAGAGAGUGCUAGAAAUGCCACACAGAUCUCAUCACUUAAAAAAGGGUUUCUGGCCAGGCACGGUUUUGAAGUUUUUACAGAAUGUACAGAAUGUAAUCAUUAAAAAAUGACUUUCAGAAACAUAUACAUUCAAAGAAAAUCUUUUAGUAUUCUAAGCAUUGAAUACUUUGGGGGAAGAACUGGUUUCUUUUUUGGAUUGUUUAAGAAGUCAGUCUUUUCUCAACAGUUUCUUGAUAAGCAAUAAAUCUUCGCAAAUUCAUUUUCACAUUGUCAAGAACACACAGCUGAUCUGUGC